GACGAACGCUGGCGGCGUGCUUAAUACAUGCAAGUCAACUUGACUUUAGAUAGCAAUAUCGAAAAGUAGGGUGGCGCACGGGUGCGUAACGCGUAGGUAAUCUGCCCUGAGGUCUGACAUAACCCGUCGAAAGGCGGGCUAACAUCAGAUGAUAUAUAAUCACGACAUCGUGGAAAUAUCAAAUCUUCGGAGCCUUGGGAUGAGCCUGCGUCUGAUUAGGUAGUUGGCGGAGUAAUAGCCCACCAAGCCUACGAUCAGUAGCUGGUCUGAGAGGAUGAUCAGCCACACUGGAACUGAGACACGGUCCAGACUCCUACGGGAGGCAGCAGUAAGGAAUAUUGCUCAAUGGGGGAAACCCUGAAGCAGCAACGCCGCGUGAAGGAUGAAAUACUUUUGUAUGUAAACUUCUGUAAGAUGGGAAAAUAUUCUCCUCGGAGAAUUGAUUGUACCAUCAGCGUAAGCCCCGGCUAACUACGU
rnacentral:rRNA from 1 species